UUGCCUUUACCCCGCUGGCCUGUGAGACAGCUUCCUGAGUGCUGAGUCAGGAUCCACAAAUUCCCUCCAGCGCAGAAGGACUGCCAUGCUCACCUCCAGGGCUCUUGCCCUCCCCAUCAUUCCAGCCAAGUUAUUCCUUAUUAUUUCUUUAAGACUUUAAUUAACUGAAGUUUUUAAUGUUGUUUCUGAUAUUUUUUCCAAUUGUAUAAUAACAACAGAAGAGUAGAACUGCAAGAAAUGGAGGUGCUAGCCUGGACCACAUCAGAAGGACCCUGUCCCCAGGGAGCUGACAAUCACAGUGAUGCCACCAGCAUAUCCACUUAAGAGGUCUGGAGGUCAGAAGUCCAAAACCCAGAAAAAAUCAAAAUCAACACCUUGGGAAAGCUGCAUUCGUUCUCAAGGCUCUAGGAGAAAACUGUUUUUCUCUUCUUUUCAGCUUCUAGGACAGGCUUCUAGAGGCCCUGGUCUAGAAUGUU